GUCAUGAUCCAGUUAGCCACUCUGUGGCCUGACAUAAAGGCACAAAUCACAGAAGACACAGACACAGCUUGGUACAGCAUGGUGACCAGGGACUGAGGCAGAAAGGGAGGUGACAUAAAAUUCAGGAGUCAUCCAAGUAUACCUUUCAAUGGUUCCCCACCAACACUGGCCGCCUUGGAGUUGUCCUGGCAAGUGGGAAAUGUAUGGAUCUUAGUUUCUGGCAUGGACCUUAAGGACUGGUCACACAAGAGACAGAGUGCAAGAUUCCUGAGAGAACAUUUAAGCAUUGAUGACCAGAGAAGGUGGAUAGAGAUGGAGGACAUGCAUACAGACUGGAUGCUCAGCUGA
ensembl:lncRNA